GGACCUUGGGUUGGGUCAAUCGGUCCGCCUAUGGUGAGCACCGAUUGGCUCAUCCCUUCUGUCGGCGAUGCGCUCCUGGCCUUAACUGGUCGGGUCGUGCCUCCAGCGCUGUUACUUUUUAAAAAAUAAAGUGUUU